UGGAGAUGGAGGGAAGAAUGUGAGACUGAUUCCUGAGAGACCUUCCACUGGUCAGAUUCCUGUGUCCAUAGGCUGCCAGGGAAGAGAGAGAAGAGAAGGUGGAGUUCUGGGAAAAAAGUAGGAGCAGAUGGAGACAAACUUCCCAUACAAUAAGUCACACUGGCUAACUCUGUAGGCUCAGGUUGACUACUUUUACAUGAAC
rnacentral:lncRNA from 1 species